AGCAGAGUGGUUCAGUGGAAGGCAUUUAGACUUUGUAAUUCAAAGAGCUGGGUUUGAAUCUCAGCUCUGCUA
rnacentral:tRNA from 1 species